rnacentral:rRNA from 1 species
UCGAACGGGCCCGGUCCUCGGAUCGGGCCAGUGGCGGAAGGGUGAGUAAGGCGACGGUAACCAACCCCAUGGUCGGGUAUAGCCGCGGGAAACUGCGGGUAAUCCCCAGCGACGUGCGGGGCCGGCAUCGGCCCGGCACCAAAGCCCAGGCGCCGUGGGACGGGCCGUCGUGGUAUUAGCUAGUUGGCGGGGUAACGGCCCACCAAGGCUGUGAUGCCUACCGGGCGUGCGAGCGUGGCCCGGCACACUGGGACUGAGACACUGCCCAGACUCCUACGGGAGGCUGCAGUCGAGAAUCUUCGGCAAUGGGCGCAAGCCUGACCGAGCGACGCCGCGUGGAGGAUGAAGGCCUUCGGGUUGUAAACUCCUGUCGAGGGGGAGGAAAGGGGAGACCUUGACCGAUCCCUGGAGGAAGCACGGGCUAAGUUCGUGCCAGCAGCCGCGGUAAGACGAACCGUGCGAACGUUAUUCGGAAUCACUGGGCUUAAAGCGCGUGUAGGCGGGCGGGUACGUCGGCGACUGAAAGCCCCCGGCUCAACCGGGGAAGGGGUGCCGAAACGGCCGGCCUGGAGGGGCGUAGGGGGACCUGGAACUUCCGGUGGAGCGGUGAAAUGCGUUGAGAUCGGAAGGAACGCCCGUGGCGAAAGCGAGGUCCUGGACGCCAUCUGACGCUGAGACGCGAAAGCCAG